GCAUCAGUGGCUCCAGCUGUGGCUUCGACAAUCCAGGACUUCCGAGAAUGACAUUGGGUUAUGCUAAUUGGCUUGUCACGAAUCUCUAAGGGUGAAGACGUGAUCCAAAUAGGCGAUCAUUACCUUUAGGUCAUGUGGAGCUGCCAUCUCUGCUCGAAAGUGUAGAGUUGGAGGAUCCGGUGCAGCACUGGCUCCUCUCUGCAGCACAGAGGGAUCUGGAUUUAAACCUCGGCAGCACAGAGAGGUGGCGAGCGAGGGGUAGAGGAAGUUAAUUACUGUCCUAACAGCUGCGCGCGGAUCAAUAGCUGUCUGGAAUCACGGUUCCACUCCCUGCAGCUCCUCAACACGAGAAUGGUUUCAUGUGUGUGCCAGCCUGAAAGAUGGAGGGAGUGUGUCAGGUUGAACAGCACAGCGUUAACUGUCACGCCAGUCAAAAAUGUCCUUGUGGUGACGGAUGGGUGGGAAAAUGGGACAGAUGCAAGGAAAGAUGGACAGAUGAAUGACAGGACAGUGGAGGGGGAUUCGCUGUUUUUUAGGGAUUCUUUUGUGGUUGUUGCACACGGAAUGACUGACCAAAGGGCCGAUGGAUGCAAAUCGGAGCAACCGUUGCAUGUUCCUUGGUCGUACUGUCGGGGCUGGAGAUGCCCUACAUGGCUUUUCUACUCUUUUAUGUCCUGGAUAAAAGUAUCUUCAGGUCAAGUAUCCGAGAGCGGAGCAGGUGCAAUUCCUACAUGAAAUUGGAGGGUUGUUAUAGCAACUUCCAUCCGUGUUUCGAGCAGUGGACAUUUUAAAGUUUUUCACUACCUUGGAAUAAAAUGAAUCUUGCAUUUUUUUCUACUCAUUUCAUCUCCUGAACCUUCGUGUUAUUUCCGGUGGCGACACAUUUUCUUUCCCUCAAAGGAUCAAUGUUUUGUGUUCAGCAAAUGAUUUCAAUGACUGGAAAAUGAGAAAGUGUUCACAUAUUCAAUGUAAUUAGCAUCUUAAAAUGUUUUGAUCCGUCUAAUGUUUUCAAGCCCAGGAUAUUCAUUUUAGAACAGACUGAACAGACAGCAGACCUCACCGAUGACGCAGAACUUUGCAGUGUCAUAACUCAUCGUGUUGAAAUAAACAAAUGUUGCAGCAACCAUUUGCAUAAAAAGUGAAUCCAUAUUUAUUGUUGAUGCUUUUGCUACAACAGCAAGUGCAUCACUUUCUCCAUCAUUAUCCACUGGUCAGUCAUUAUAUUUUAAACAUGCCUUUAUUAUUUAGCCCCC
rnacentral:lncRNA from 1 species